GAUAGGAAGCAAUUUUUCAUGAAUGGUUCCAUUUUCCUCAAGUCUAAAGGAAAAUGGAAUUUAACCCUAAAUCUCCACUGUCCCAUUUCCUUAUAAGUUGUCAAAAGGGUUGAAUUCAUUUGUCCGAUACUUCCAUUUUCUUUAUUUUACAACUGUUUUUGACUAAAGGGGGUCUCUCAGAAUCUCUUCGAAUCAUCAGAAAGAUACCCAAGUUCACUUUUUUAUUGUUGUUUUAGGUUCUUUGUUGUUUUGGGUCAAUUGGGUUUGGGUAACUUGUGAAUGAUCUGAUAUCUUUAUUCUUUUUUUUUUCGAGAAUGGCUGAUGAUAUGGUCAUUCAUUUUGCAUCCAAUUCUUCUAACCAAUCUGACCAGUCUUUGCCUACAAGGAUUGCGAAACUCGAGGCGAGAAUGGUGGGGAAAGCUUCAUCUGUUACAUCCCAAGCUAAUUCUUGGUCUGCCCCAGCUAUAUUUGGAGCUGCUGAGAAUGUUGCUGAGGCUGCCGCCAUCUCUAGUGAUUCAGAUGAUGAUGAUGGCAAAGAGUGUUUCAUCUGCAAGAAGGGCGGUCAUCGUGCUAAGGAUUGCCCUGAAAAAAACCAAGGAGGAUCUGAAAGUUCAAGAAUGUGAUUGGGAACGUUCUGAGGCAUCGAAGAAAGGAAAAUCACAGGUGAAUUAGGUUGCUUGACUUCGGUUCUUCGGUUGAGCGAGUCUUCCAUCGACUUCAACUCGACUUCAGCUCUAGUCAGUCUCCAGUUCAUCGGAUUGGAGGGUGAGCUAUCCUUCUAACUAGCGAUGGAAUCUCUUGUCAUGGCAUGGUGUCCUUAGUUUUCGGACACACUAUGUUAAUUGUUUAUUCUGGUAUUGAUAUUUUCAGACUUAGUUUUAGAAUUUAGAUGUCCUUCAUGUGAUGACUUUCAGGUUUUGGGAAAAACGUAUUUAUUUGAGCUUCCGCGUUAUUGUUAUGUUUAUUAAUUGGGGUUUGUAUCGUUGGUUCUCCCAUCUAGGAGGUUAAGUGUGGGUGCCACUCAUGACCCAUUUUGGGUCGUGACAUCAUUGUGCUAAGGAUUGCCCUGAAAAAAACCAAGGAGGAUCUGAAAGUUCAAGAAUGUGUUUAAAAUGUGGGGAUUCUGGGCAAUGAUAUGUUUUCAUGAUGGAAUAACUAUUCUGCUGAUGAUCCAGAGGUGUUGCUGAAGAAACUUCAACUUGAAAUUGAUUUAUUUUUUGUUGCUUAAUUAUCAAUUUUCCUGCUUUCAUCUUGACCUUGACAGGAAAUACAAUGUUACAUUUGUAAGAGUUUUUGUCAUCUUUGCUGUGCAAGCUACCCUGAUGGUUGUCCGAGUGAAAUAUCCUGUUACAGAUGUGGUCUACUAGGUCAUACCGGUUUGGUAAGUAAAUGGCCAUGAAACGACAUGACUCCUCUGUGUAUGUGUGUGUGUGUUUCUCUUGUCCUUGUUCAGGAAUCCUUUUGAAUGCUGCAAUUUCAACUUACAUAUGUUCAAUGCAAGCAUGCACAGGAUCUCGUGGGGAGACUAGUGGUACAUGGCAUCUUAGUUCUUGUUAUAGGUGUGGCGAAGAAGGGCAUUUUGCACGAGAAUGCACUAAUUCCAAUACAGUGAAUUAUAUAUCUGUGAUUGACAACCCGCUCAUUUGCAGCAUCCUCCAACUCCUGGAAAUAAGAGAGCCAGGUUAUCCAACUUUGGUUCUGAUGAUCAUUCUUCUGUUUCUUAUUCAUCUAGAAAAGUCCAACAGGCUUGACUUUAAUGAUUCAACUUCUUAUGGAUCAGUCAAAUAUCAUCAUCACCAUAGGUUUUCGGCUUCUCGUUUUGGUAACAACAGUCAUGAUGGGAGGAGAAAUUAUGAAUGGUAACAGAAACCCUCUAUCAUCUCCUCUCUUUUUUGGAUGAUUUGAGAAAUCCAUCAGAAGCAUAACCUUACCAAUUGAGCUAAUGGCUUGACCUUGGGGGAGUAAGUCCAUGGACCCUUCCUUCAAAGGGUGCCUAGAUACUGAAAGGUUGUCCCUUGCAACGCUGAAACCCAGGGGGCAUCUCCUAGUCUUUUUUAAUUAUUAUUAUUAUUUGAAAUUUGAGUUUCCCCUUGAUCCCAUUAGUGUUAAUUAUCCAUAAUUGCUAGUAUUCUCUGAAGUUGGUUAUUUGUGUUUCUCUAGUUUGUAGACUUUGGGAGAGGUACAUUAUAUGAAUUCUGAAAAGAAUAUUCCAACUACACUAUUGAAGAAACAAAAUAACACAUAUAUAACAGUUGUUUACCCUUUUUGAAAUAUAGCAAUA